rfam:Ixodes scapularis strain Wikel colony gcontig_1108378765356, whole genome shotgun sequence.
GCAGUCGUGGCCGAGUGGUUAAGGCGAUGGACUCAAAAUCCAUUGGGGUCUCCCUGCACAAGUUUGAAUGCUGUCGACUGCG